ACUUGCUUAACCUAAAAGUACAAUAAUCACUGGUCACUGAAUAAUCACUGGUAUAGAAUACCUAAAUCGUCAUUCAGUUGCGCUCCAAACAGUAGUUUAAGUUUAAGCAGAGGAAGUAACUACAUAUAAUUGGCGAGCAUUUAGUAGAUUUUAUGAGUAUUAGAUUAUUAUAAAGAUUAACCUUUUCAAUAAUUGCAGCAACAACAACAACAACUAAGAAAACACGCCGGUGAUGUAAUGACACCGAAAUGCCCAAAAAACGGGCUUAACUCAAACGCCGUCGAGAUGGAAACUAAACAAAAACUGCACCAACGGAUAAUACUUACUCAUUGGGUGGUAAAUGGGCUUCUGGAGGCCCAUUAAAUGCGAUUUAACCAGUUUUGCCGACUCGAAUGGAUUCUGCCAGGUGCAAUCGUAAAUGUGCCAAGUGCGCGCGAACGUUGCCCAUUGCUAAAUUCGAAGGAAAUUGAAUGAUUACCUAUUGCACUUUGAGGGUAAUGAGCUUACGUACCUGCACACGCUUCGCAAUGGACAUUUUGUGUGAUUUUUAAUUAAACAAUUUAACUUUAGCGAAAAUAAAUAAUUUCUCAGCUGGCAGUCAGUGUGACCAAGGUCUCACCCAUGGAAGCAGUAGAGACAUAUUCCAAUUGGAUUCAUAUUACACAUUCCCGUGACUCAACCCGCAUGUAAGCAGUUAGCAAAUUGUGCUAAGCAGGAACACCUUUUAGCAUUGCAAGCAGUGUUUCACGUAAUUCAAAAAUGAUUU